rnacentral:lncRNA from 1 species
UUUAUUAAUGAAAGAUUUAUCCCGUCAUCUGCCUCCCUUGCUUUCCAUUAUAUAAAAGAGAUGAUACACCUCCUUAUCUCUCUAGAUGUCAUAUAUACUUCCUCUUCGCGUGUCACUUGUCAAGGAUUCCGCACACACAACCCUCCUCCUUGCCCAAACAUGUUACAUCUCCUCUCGUCUUCUUGGCUUAUGAAGUAACUCUAUCUAAGCAUGUGAGGUGUUAGGAAGUUCCUAGUGAUCUAUCCUACCCAUGACUGCAUUCUCAUAGCUAACAUAGUGAGGACGACAAACUAGAACGCGUGCCAUCCUGCCAUCUACAUACGAUCUCUUGUGAAUCAUUGAGUCGUCUGUGAUUGUUGGCUGGUCCUUGGCUUGCUCAUGUAUUGCCCUGGCCUUACUAUAGACGUUGCGACAUUGAUUGUCUACGUGGAGCAUCUGUAGCGGAUAUGGCUUUGGGUCCUAUGGUUGCACAAACCACUGCUACAAUUUUCAGGAAUAGAGUAGGAAUCAUGGGACUAUGCAGCUCCGUAGGAUGUGAACACAAAAAUGCAGCAGUUGUAGUUAUCCUUAUGCUAGAAAUUUAUACGGUUGGUAUUCAUUCUUAUGAUACAGGCUGAUUGAUCUAUAUACAUAGCAUUGGGGUCUCGUGUGCAAGAAACAGUGUCUUGUGUAGUGUGGAUGAGAUGGCACAAGAACAGUCGAAGGCGCGUGACACAU